GAACUGCGAUAAGUAAUGUGAAUUGCAGAAUUCAGUGAAUCAUCGAGUCUUUGAACGCACAUUGCGCCCCCUGGCAUCCCGGGGGGCAUGCCUGUCCGAGCGUCAUUGCUGCCCUCAAGCCCGGCUUGUGUGUUGGGUCGUCGUCCCCCCCGGGGGACGGGCCCGAAAGGCAGCGGCGGCACCGUGUCCGGUCCUCGAGCGUAUGGGGCUUUGUCACCCGCUCGAUUAGGGCCGGCCGGGCGCCAGCCGGCGUCUCCAACCUUAUUUUUCUCAGGUUGACCUCGGAUCAGGUAGGGAUACCCGCUGAACUUAAGC
rnacentral:misc_RNA from 1 species